rnacentral:rRNA from 1 species
UCCUCGGACGGUCACCUCGGGAACUGAGGCUAAUAUCCGAUAGAUGGGGAGACCUGGAAUGGUCCCUCGUCAAAACGGGACUAGUGGCAUGCUUGCUAGUUUCGCCUGAGGAUAGGGCCGCGUCCGAUCAGGUCGCUGGUGAGGUAACGGCUCACCAAGCCUAUAACCGGUACGGGCCGUGAGAGCGGUAGCCCGGAGAUGGGCACUGAGAUAAGGGCCCAGGCCCUACGGGGCGCAGCAGGCGCGAAAACUCCGCAAUGCGCGAAAGCGUGACGGGGUCACCCCGAGUGCCGUCCGCUGAGGAUGGCUUUUGCCCGGUUUAACUAGCCAGGUGAAUAAGGGGAGGGCAAGUCUGGUGUCAGCCGCCGCGGUAAUACCAGCUCCCCGAGUGGUUGGGACGAUUAUUGGGUCUGAAGCGUCCGUAGCCGGCCGGAAAAGUUCCCCGUUAAAUCUGGCGAUUCAAUCGUUGGGCUGCGGGGAAUACUCUUCGGCUUGGGGGCGAGGGAGGUCGGCGGUAGUCCUGGGGUAGGGGCGAAAUCCUAUAAUCCCAGGAGGACCACCAGUGGCGAAGGCGGCCGACUAAAACGCGCCCGACGGUGAGGGACGAAAGCUGGGGGAGCGAACGGGAUUAGAUACCCCGGUAGUCCCAGCUGUAAACGAUGCAGGCUAGGUGUUGGGACGGCCACGAGCUGUCCCAGUGCCGCAGGGAAGCCAUUAAGCCUGCCACCUGGGAAGUACGGCCGCAAGGCUGAAUUUUCGAGAUGAUUUCGUCUUGGAACAGUUUACUUAAAGGAAUUGGCGGGGGAGCAC